rnacentral:rRNA from 1 species
UAGGGAAUCUUCCACAAUGGACGAAAGUCUGAUGGAGCAACGCCGCGUGAGUGAAGAAGGUUUUCGGAUCGUAAAGCUCUGUUGUUGGUGAAGAAGGAUAGAGGCAGUAACUGGUCUUUAUUUGACGGUAAUCAACCAGAAAGUCACGGCUAACUACGUGCCAGCAGCCGCGGUAAUACGUAGGUGGCAAGCGUUGUCCGGAUUUAUUGGGCGUAAAGCGAGCGCAGGCGGAAUGAUAAGUCUGAUGUGAAAGCCCACGGCUCAACCGUGGAACUGCAUCGGAAACUGUCAUUCUUGAGUGCAGAAGAGGAGAGUGGAAUUCCAUGUGUAGCGGUGGAAUGCGUAGAUAUAUGGAAGAACACCAGUGGCGAAGGCGGCUCUCUGGUCUGCAACUGACGCUGAGGCUCGAAAGCAUGGGUAGCGAACAGGAUUAGAUACCCUGGUAGUCCAUGCCGUAAACGAUGAGCGCUAGGUGUUGGGGACUUUCCGGUCCUCAGUGCCGCAGCAAACGCAUUAAGCGCUCCGCCUGGGGAGUACGACCGCAAGGUUGGAAC